rnacentral:rRNA from 1 species
CGAGUGAAGCGGCAAAAGCUCAAAUUUGAAAUCUGGCACCUUCGGUGUCCGAGUUGUAAUUUGUAGAAGGUAACUUUGGAAUUGGCUCUUGUCUAUGUUCCUUGGAACAGGACGUCACAGAGGGUGAGAAUCCCGUGCGAUGAGGUGCCCAAUUCUAUGUAAAGUGCUUUCGAAGAGUCGAGUUGUUUGGGAAUGCAGCUCUAAGUGGGUGGUAAAUUCCAUCUAAAGCUAAAUAUUGGCGAGAGACCGAUAGCGAACAAGUACAGUGAUGGAAAGAUGAAAAGAACUUUGAAAAGAGAGUGAAAAAGUACGUGAAAUUGUUGAAAGGGAAGGGCUUGAGAUCAGACUUGGUAUUUUGCGUUCCUUCCCCUCGUGGGUUGGUUCCUCGCAGCUUACCGGGCCAGCAUCGGUUUGGAUGGUAGGAUAAUGACAUUGGAAUGUGACACCGCUUCGGUGGUGUGUUAUAGCCUUUGUUGAUACUGCCUGUCUAGACCGAGGACUGCGUCUUUGACUAGGAUGUUGGCAUAAUGAUCUUAAGUCGCCCGUCUUGA